AUUAAAUUUCAGAAUUCAUUCAAGUCACAACCGUCUUUUCAAUAUUUUAGAAAUUGUAAGAUGAAAGAUAAGGAGUACUGGAUAAAUAAGUUUGAUUUACAGCCACACCCGAAGGAAACUAAAGGAUUUUUUAAAGAAACCUUCCGUGAUGAAUUUACCGUCAUCGGAUCUUCAGGCGAACAGAGGGCUGCAUCUACUCUUAUUUACUUUCUUCAUGUUCAAGAAUCUCUUAACCCUAAAACUACAUUCUUCAAGGUAAAAUCUGUAGAGACAAUACACUGGUACUACGGGUCUCCUCUACACCUGUAUUAUAUAAACGAGGAGGAGAGGAGGCUGGUUAAGGUGGAGUUGGGAGUUGAUGAAUUUCAGUUUGCAUUCCCCCGGGGAGUCUGGUUUACUAGACUGUGUGAGGUAGAUGAUGGAUAUUCUCUGGUUGGGGCAUCUGUAGCACCAGGCUUUGAUUUCCAGGAUCUGGAGACUACAGAAUAUGAAUCUCUCCAGCAUCUUCUAUCCUAAUAACGUGAACCUGCGAUACACUUUUUUGAAAAUACAAGAUUUUCACUUUUUAAACUUUCUAAAUUUUUCAGAUUCUACGUCCCUGGCAAAAUGUCGGGGACUGAAAAAGUUACCUUGAACGAUGCUCUCUCUAAUGUUGAUGUACUUGACGAACUCCCACUGCCUGAUGAACAGCCUUGCAUUGAGGCCCAGCCUUGCAGUAUAGUUUAUCAGAGUAAUUUCGAUACAAACUUCGAGGAUAGGAAUGCUUUCGUCACUGGAGUUGCCAAGUAUAUUGAGGAAGCGACGGUUCAUUCCAACUUGAACGAGAUGUUAGAGGAAGGACAGCUGCAUGCUGUUAUGCUAUACACCUGGAGAUGUUGUAGCAGAGCAAUUCCUCAACCUAAAUCUAACGAACAACCUAACAGGGUGGAGAUUUAUGAAAAGACAGUUGAGGUUCUAGCUCCAGAAGUCAACAAACUACUCAACCUCAUGUACUUUCAGAGGAAAGCUGUUGAAAGUUUCUGUAAUGAAGUAAAGAGACUUUCUCAUGAAGAGAAACGGAAGGAUUUUGUUUCUGAAGCUUAUCUUCUAACUUUAGGAAAGUUUAUCAACAUGUUUGCUGUGCUGGACGAACUGAAGAACAUGAAGAGCUCGGUUAAGAACGAUUAUGCAACGUACAGAAGAGCUGCACAGUUCCUUAAAGUUAUCGGAGACUCACAGGCGUUGACAGAGAGUCAGAAUCUGUCAAUGUUUCUGGCGAAGCAGGGUAGUAUCAGAGAAGAACUCAAGAAGGCUAUGGAAAAAAUAAAGAACUACGAGGACCUGCUCUGCGAUAUUGUAAACAUAUGUCUUCUUAUGUACGAGCAGAGAACGUACCUCACCCCAGCAGAGAAGCAUAUGCUCGUCAAGGUAAUGGGAUUUGGCUUGUUCCUUCUUGACUCUGAGAAUACAAGCAUCAGCAUAAACAAACUAGAUCAGAAGAAGAGAUUGAGACUAGAGAAACUAGACAGGGUAUUCUUUGAGCUCCAAGUUGUCCCUCUGUUCGGGGAUAUGCAGAUUGCUCCAUUUAACUACAUCAAGAACUCUAAAACAUUUGAUCCUUCAAAAUGGCCGCUAUCAAGCUCCAAUGCAAUAUCUCCUCAGGCCAACUUGAUGAUACAUCUGAGUAAGAUGAGAGAAGAUCAUAUCAAGUAUACAUCGGAGCUAGCCAGAUACUCUAAUGAGGUAACAACGACCUACAAGGAAACUCCGAGAACAGAUCAAGAGAAUAAGAGUUUACUCCGUUUAGCACUCAGAGGUCUACAGCUGCUCUCUGAGUGGACCUGUAUAGUAACGGAGCUGUAUAGCUGGAAGCUGCUACAUCCAACGGAUCACCAUCAGAACAAAGAUUGUCCGCAGGAUGCAGAAGAAUAUGAACGAGCCACAAGGUACAAUUACUCAAGUGACGAGAAGUUUGCUCUGAUUGAGAUAAUCGGAAUGAUCAAAGGGCUCCAGGUUCUCAUGGCAAGGAUGGAAACCGUCUUCACAGAUUCUAUCAGGAGAAGUAUCUACGCUGAGCUCCAGGAUUUUGUCCAACUGGAGCUAAGAGACCCCCUCAGGAAAGCAGUCAGAAACAAGAAGGAUCUUAUCAGGAGUAUAAUAAUGUCUGUCCGUGAGACUUGUGCUGAGUGGCAGCGAGGAAUAGAACCUCAUGAUGAUCCAGCGCUUAAAGGGAAGAAAGAUCCUGAUACAGGAUUUGAAAUCAAGGUUCCCAGACGAAAUGUUGGACCCUCCUCUACUCAGCUGUAUAUGGUCCGAACUAUGCUUGAAUCCUUAAUUGCGGACAAGGCUGGAGCUAAGCGCACUCUCAGAAAGGAUAUUGACAGCAGUAUGCUAAUGAAGAUUGAUGAGUUCCAUAAAACCUCUUUUUUCUGGAAUUAUCUUCUCAACUUCAGUAAAACAUUGCAGGACUGUUGUGACUUAUCCCAGUUGUGGUAUCGUGAGUUCUACCUUGAGAUGACUAUGGGUAAGAGAAUACAGUUCCCUAUAGAGAUGUCAAUGCCCUGGAUUCUCACGGAUCAUAUUCUUACAACAAAGGAUAGUUCCUACAUGGAGUCCGUCCUCUACCCCUUGGAUCUGUACAACGACUCCGCGUUCUACGCCCUGACUGUGUUCCGUAAACAGUUCCUGUACGACGAGGUGGAGGCCGAGGUUAACCUCUGCUUUGAUCAGUUUGUUUAUAAACUCAGUGAUCAGGUUUACAGCUACUACAAACAUCUUGCUGGGAUUAUACUACUGGACAAGCGGUUUAAACAGGAAUGCCAGACGCUUGGAACUUAUAUAACCUCUCCUCCGCCAAACAGAUAUGAGACUCUUCUCAAGCAAAGACAUGUUCAGCUUCUAGGUCGAUCUGUUGAUCUAAAUCGUCUCAUCUGUCAGAGGAUUAACAACAGUCUCCAGAAAUCCUUAGAUCUGGCAAUAUCCAGGUUUGAAGCUGGAGAUAUAACUGGUAUAGUUGAGCUGGAUGCACUGAUCAGGGUUAACAGACUCACGCAUAAGCUUCUCUCCACCCAUCUUGCUCUAGAUGAUUUUGACGAUAUGUUCCGUGAGUCCAACCAUAACGUGUUGGCUCCCUAUGGUCGUGUUACUCUACACGUGUUCUGGGAACUGAACUACGAUUUCCUGCCCCACUACUGCUACAAUGCAGCUACUAACAGGUUUGUCAAGUGUCGAGAUAUUCAGUUUUCUCAACCUGUACAAAGAGAAAGAGCUCCACAGUUGGGCCAUCACUACCUAUGGGGUAGCAAAGCUCUGAACAUUGCUAAUUCUACCAUCUACGGACAGUAUGCAAACUUUGUAGGUCCCCCACACUUUAACUGUAUGGCUAAACUGCUAGGAUAUCAGGGUAUAGCAGUGGUCAUGGAGGAACUUCUUAAAGUUGUUAAAUCCUUAAUACAGGGUAAUAUUCUCCAGUUUACCAGAACUCUGAUGGAAGCUAUGCCUAAGGACUGUAAAUUACCGAGGUAUGAUUAUGGAAGCCCGGGAAUACUUGAAUACUAUCAGCAGAAGCUGAUUGACAUUGUUCAGUACCCAGAUGCUAGAACAGAACUCUUCCAUAACUUCAGGGAGUUUGGAAAUGCAGUUCUUUUCUGUCUUCUUAUCGAACAAGCAUUGUCACAAGAGGAGGUCUGUGAUCUUCUUCAAGCUGCUCCUUUCCAGAACAUUCUCCCAAGGCCAUUCUGCAAAGAAGGCGAGAAAGCGGAAACUAAGCAAAAGCGCCUCGAGGCAAAAUAUGCCGCGCUCCAGAUUGUUCCAAACAUUGAGAAGUUAGGAACUGCUAAACAGGCUCAAAUUGCACGGGAAGGGGAUCUACUAACUAGAGAACGCCUUUGCUGUGGUCUCUCCAUUUUCGAGGUUAUUCUGAAUAGAAUAAAGGGGUUCCUUGAAGAUGCAAUCUGGCACGGGAAACCACCGGCUAACGGUGUUAUCAAUAUAGAUGAAUGCACUGAGUUUCACAGGCUGUGGUCUGCUCUGCAGUUUGUGUACUGUAUCCCUGUAGGGGAGAAUGAGUUUACUGUGGAACAUCUCUUUGGCGAGGGAUUGAAUUGGGCAGGAUGUGUAAUGAUCGUUCUUCUUGGUCAACAAAGGAGAUUUGAAUGCCUGGAUUUCUGCUACCAUAUAUUUAGGGUACAAAAAGUUGAUAGAAGAGAUGAGAAUAUAAAAGGAAUUCAGUUGAAGAGAAUGGUUGACAGGAUUCGAAGGUUCCAGGUGCUGAACAGUCAAAUAUUUGCACAGCUGAACAAAUAUAUGAAAACAAGUUUUGCGGAGAAUGAGAAUAUGCCAGUUGAACAUGUUCGAUGCUUUCAGCCACCGAUACACCAAAGCCUCGCCCAAUCCCAGUACGGUACACGGGAGACAGCUCAGUACGGUACACGGGAGACUGCACAGUACGGUACAAGGGAGACUGCCCAGUACGGUACAAUCAACAGGGACAGGUCUGGUGGAGGAAACAGAAGAUGAGGAAUACCUCUCCCUGGGCUUACAUAGGCUGGGGAGAAGUAAAACUGCUGACAAAUACUCACAACGAUGAAAAGAAAACGAGGAAGAUAGAGAAUGGCGUGGAGGGGAGGAGGAGGGGGGAUUUAUUUGAAAUCAAAACUCUUAUUUAACUCUAAAAAAAAUUUGAUAAACCCCACCUUAUCAUUUAAAAGUUCGCUGAAAAGACUUGAAUAAAAUAUGUCUUUAAAGUUUCUAUUGACUUGUAAAUUUUCAAAAGAUUUUGUGGACAUGUAUGUAUUUUUCUCGUCAUUAGACAUUGAUUAGAUCUUUAAAAUUUUUAUACUGCUAUCAUAUUUCUGUGUCUUCCUUGUAGUUUGAACUAAAAUCCUCCUAAUUUUAUUAGUAAUUACAUUUAUAAUUCAUUUCUAGUUUUGUAAGUAGUUCGAACCCCAGCUAGCCUGUAUGUAAGCUUGAAAAUUUUAUGGUUUUAACCAAAUGAUUUGAAUAAAAAGGAUCGUCAACGUUAUAUGAUUUCAACUUUAGCUUGUGUUAUUGGUGGUUUCUAUCUUCCUUAUUGUACUGAAACCCCCUAGGGACAAACUGUGUAAAUAAUUAUAAACAUUGAGAUAUGUUAUUUUGCAUUUGUAUUAAAUACAAUACUUACUUUGUAGUAUUAUGUUGUAUUGUGUGGCUUGAAAUUAAUAAAAUGUUGACUUGUA
rnacentral:misc_RNA from 1 species